CACCGCCUGGGGAGUACGACCGCAAGGUUAAAACUCAAAUGAAUUGACGGGGACCCGCACAAGUAGUGGAGCAUGUGGUUUAAUUCGAAGAUACGCGCAGAACCUUACCAACACUUGACAUGUUCGUCGCGACUUUAAGAGAUUAAAGUUUUCGGUUCGGCCGGACGAAACACAGGUGCUGCAUGGCUGUCGUCAGCUCGUGUCGUGAGAUGUUGGGUUAAGUCCCGCAACGAGCGCAACCCUCACUUUUAGUUGCCAUCAUUAAGUUGGGCACUCUGAAAGAACUGCCAGUGAUAAGCUGGAGGAAGGUGGGGAUGACGUCAAGUCCUCAUGGCCCUUACGUGUUGGGCUACACACGUGCUACAAUGGUAUCUACAACGGGAAGCAAAACAGCGAUGUUAAGCAAAUCCUUAAAAGAUACCUCAGUUCGGAUUGCACUCUGCAACUCGAGUGCAUGAAGCUGGAAUUACUAGUAAUCGUGGAUCAGCGUGCCACGGUGAAUGCGUUCCCGGGUCUUGUACACACCGCCCGUCACACCAUGGGAGUUGGUUCUACCUUAAGGCAAGGUUUUAAACCCUUGACCACGGUAUAGUCAGCGACUGGGGUGAAGUCGUAACAAGGUAGCCGUAGGGGAACCUGCGGCUGGAUUACCUCCUUUCUAAGGAUGAGUGAAAUUUUAUUUCAUUCUAAAUAAUUUACAUAGGCAAUGUUGACCGUCCUCAUUUCUCUUCUUAGAUUAGUGUUUCUCUUGCAUGGGGGCCGGUAGCUCAGUUGGUUAGAGCACACCCUUGAUAAGGGUGGGGUCGAAAGUUCGAGUCUUUCUCGGCCCACCAAUAAAAGAUUAAGGGGGAUUAGCUCAGCUGGGAGAGCGCCUGAUUUGCAUUCAGGAGGUCAGCGGUUCGAUCCCGCUAUCCUCCACCAAAACACUUAGUUAUAUAAAUUGUAAAUUAAAAUUAUUAAUAUCAAUAUCUAUAUCCGAACAUUAACAAGUUGUUAUUCAAGUUAAUGUUCAAACAAAAAAUUUGAUUCAACACAGAAUUUUUUUCUG
rnacentral:sRNA from 1 species